rnacentral:rRNA from 1 species
UACGUAGGGUGCAAGCGUUGUCCGGAAUUAUUGGGCGUAAAGAGCUCGUAGGCGGUCUGUCGCGUCGAAUGUGAAAACCCGGGGCUCAACCCCGGGCCUGCAUUCGAUACGGGCAGACUAGAGUUCGGUAGGGGAGUCUGGAAUUCCUGGUGUAGCGGUGAAAUGCGCAGAUAUCAGGAGGAACACCGGUGGCGAAGGCGGUUCUCUGGGCCUUACCUGACGCUGAGGAGCGAAAGCGUGGGGAGCAAACAGG